UCGUUCUCAUUGGGGUACUUUACGAAGCUGAGAAAUACCAUACCCGUAGAACCUGAUCUGAUUAGUAUCAGCGUAGGGAUUUGAGAUACUUUGAUUC
rfam:Actinobacillus pleuropneumoniae L20 serotype 5b complete genome.